UGAGGAAUAUUGGUCAAUGGGCGAGAGCCUGAACCAGCCAAGUCGCGUGAGGGAUGACGGUCCUACGGAUUGUAAACCUCUUUUGUCGGGGAACAACAGGGGGCACGCGUGCCUUUGUGAGUGUACCCGGAGAAAAAGCAUCGGCUAACUCCGUGCCAGCAGCCGCGGUAAUACGGAGGAUGCAAGCGUUAUCCGGAUUCAUUGGGUUUAAAGGGUGCGUAGGCGGCUUGGUAAGUCAGCGGUGAAAUUCCAGUGCUCAACAUUGGCCGUGCCGUUGAUACUGCUGGGCUUGAAUGCGGAUGCCGUGGGAGGAAUGUGUGGUGUAGCGGUGAAAUGCAUAGAUAUCACACAGAACACCGAUUGCGAAGGCAUCUCACGAAUCCGCAAUUGACGCUGAGGCACGAAAGUGUGGGGAUCAAACAGGAUUAGAUACCCUGGUAGU
rnacentral:rRNA from 1 species